UACGUAGGGUGCGAGCGUUAAUCGGAAUUACUGGGCGUAAAGCGUGCGCAGGCGGUUUUUUAAGACAGGCGUGAAAUCCCCGGGCUUAACCUGGGAACUGCGUUUGUGACUGGAAGGCUAGAGUAUGGCAGAGGGGGGUGGAAUUCCACGGUGUAGCAGUGAAAUGCGUAGAGAUGUGGAGGAACACCGAUGGCGAAGGCGGCCCCCUGGGCCAAUACUGACGCUCAUGCACGAAAGCGUGGGGGAGCAAACAGG
rnacentral:rRNA from 1 species